rnacentral:rRNA from 1 species
UACGUAGGGCGCAAGCGUUAUCCGGAAUUAUUGGGCGUAAAGAGCUCGUAGGCGGUCUGUCGCGUCGGAUGUGAAAAUCAGGGCUCAACCCUGGACCUGCAUUCGAUACGGGCAAGCUAGAAUUCGGUAGGGGAGACUGGAAUUCCUGGUGUAGCGGUGAAAUGCGCAGAUAUCAGGAGGAACACCGGUGGCGAAGGCGGGUCUCUGGGCCGAAAUUGACGCUGAGGAGCGAAAGCGUGGGGAGCAAACAGG